GACACGAUCAACCGCGUCCAUCAACUUCGUUGACCGCAUCAAACCUCCUUGGCAUCAAAUGGACGGCGGCCGUGAAUCGUGGUGACAGUCACGUCUUCGACGCGUUUUUUUGGUGCGACCAUCGCCUUCUGAACGAACAAAAGCAACCGCAGCAGGUACGCAGCAGGGCCGCUGGCAGGCAAGGCAAGUAGGAUUGGCAGCAGCACGGGUAGCAUAACUACAGCAGCUGGCAGCACCGGUUGGACUUUGAUGUGCCCUUUUGUUAUUUGAGCUUGUGGUGCGGUCUCGUCAUUGUUCCACACUGACUAGUUCAACUCGCCUCAUGCUGCUGCACCGGUCCACACCGCCGAUGAACGGGAAGACGCAAGCCCAGCCAUCUUCAUUUUUCGUCCAGGCAUGGCCUCUCUUGCAGGUCUGCAAGCUCCAAGUCCUCCGGAUGUCUGGAACAUAGCUUGUCCAGGCCUUGGUUCAGUUCCCUGGGGUCUUCCAGCGUUGCCAUACCUAUCUCGGAUGUCCUUGGUUGGGUGCAGACCUGUAUUGCUCUGUCCAGGUAUUUCGUCGCCAUUUCCUCAAUGUUCAUUAAUGUUUCGUGUAUAGGUCUUAAGUUCAGGCAGUCAUUGCGGCCUUCAUGGUUUGUGGCCAUUGUGUUGUUAUCCGGUCUUGCAGCCUCCAAUCAUCUCCCUCUCCCCACUUAGGGCUGAUUGCACCAGCAUCGGUUAGCGCGAGCCGGGGCUUAGCAGGAAACUUAAACUGAGUUUCGGUUUCAAUCAGUUGCACCAAAAUCGCUUAUCGCUAGACUUAGCACUAAAGCACGCCUAUCUUGAGCGCUCAACAUUGGGCGCUUUGGUUUUGGUUGUUUCUAAAUCCCUGAUUUAAAACGUGACAACUGGUUUGUGGUGGUGGGUGCGGUGGAUGAAAGUGGUUGUAAAAAGAGUUUUUGGCUACAACAGCAUGACAGUCCCGAAAUAAUGAACUUCAAUAGUGACAAGGAUGCAAACUAUUGUUGUGUAAAAUGUUCACUGACCCCUUUGUUCAAGUUGGCUUUUCACUCUGAGCGCAUGUUAGCCCAAACCGGGGAAGGUACGCAGUUGUGGGGCUCAUGUCAGUCUUCCUGUUGGUUUUUCUGUCAAUGUGCUUAUUCGUAUGUAGUUAUUUGUGCAUAUCUGUAACGUUUUGCUAUUUACAACCUUGUUUAUUGUUACUUUGAAUGCAUAUCCUUUAUUCCGAUCGGCGUUUUGAAAAGCGGCGUCGUAUGUGCUCAGCGAUCAGCUGAUCGUUGACACUUCUGCCGUUCGCAUCAGAUUGUGGCGAAUGACUCAUUUAAAUAAAAAAAAACGAAAAU